rnacentral:snRNA from 1 species
CAACUCUGGUUUCUCUUCAAUCACGCACAAGUUUUUCGCCUUUUACUAAAGACUUCCGUGGAGAGCAACGCUUACGAGUUCACGUAUUUUGGACGGGCUUUGCUCCCGGCAGAGCC